rnacentral:rRNA from 2 species
AUGGACGAAAGUCUGAUGGAGCAACGCCGCGUGAGUGAAGAAGGGUUUCGGCUCGUAAAACUCUGUUGUUAAAGAAGAACAUAUCUGAGAGUAACUGUUCAGGUAUUGACGGUAUUUAACCAGAAAGCCACGGCUAACUACGUGCCAGCAGCCGCGGUAAUACGUAGGUGGCAAGCGUUGUCCGGAUUUAUUGGGCGUAAAGCGAGCGCAGGCGGUUUUUUAAGUCUGAUGUGAAAGCCUUCGGCUUAACCGAAGAAGUGCAUCGGAAACUGGGAAACUUGAGUGCAGAAGAGGACAGUGGAACUCCAUGUGUAGCGGUGAAAUGCGUAGAUAUAUGGAAGAACACCAGUGGCGAAGGCGGCUGUCUGGUCUGUAACUGACGCUGAGGCUCGAAAGUAUGGGUAGCAAACAGGAUUAGAUACCCUGGUAGUCCAUACCGUAAACGAUGAAUGCUAAGUGUUGGAGGGUUUCCGCCCUUCAGUGCUGCAGCUAACGCAUUAAGCAUUCCGCCUGGGGAGUACGGCCGCAAGGCUGAAACUCAAAGGAAUUGACGGGGGCCCGCACAAGCGGUGGAGCAUGUGGUUUAAUUCGAAGCUACGCGAAGAACCUUACCAGGUCUUGACAUACUAUGCAAAUCUAAGAGAUUAGACGUUCCCUUCGGGGCACAUGGAUACAGGUGGUGCAUGGGUUGUCGUCAGCUCGUGUCGUGAGAUGUUGGGGUUAAGUCCGCAACGAA